UGAAACCGGAGUCUUAAGCCUCUCUGCAGCAUCCACCUGAAAUCAUCCCGCCCUGCUGCAGGCCUCACUGGCUUUCUCUCUCUGCGUUCCGGCACAGUGCAUCAUAAAUACUCAGAUAAUCACUUUGGAAAAAUGGCACGUUUUGGGUGAAUCGUCCGCCACUGAGCAGAUUCAGGCUCGUGGACAUAAUGUGUGCAUAUUGAUCAGAUGUUCUCUUACUGGCCCCUAGUGGUUCAGAUACUUUUCUUCCUGGAAAGCUGCUCUGACUUUAGCGGAAGAAGACAGCCAGGGUGUAAGUAUAGCCUGAGACAAUCCCCGAGCAGGAAGAUAACAGUGAACACAUCUCCCUCCUGCUCUGUUCUCUGUUACAUGAGAAAUGUACGGGCCCAACCCAGGCUGAGUGUUCUGGGAAUGAACCGGUGCCCCAGGAUUGCGGAAGGCUAGGGGUUGACUCUCGAGAGCCAAGAGCCUGUCGGUUUCCCUCCCAGUCUUAGCCCUCAAUUACUGAAUCAAAGGUGAGAGGAAGACCAAAUCCCAUCCUGUGCCUGGUCCUCAUCUCACCCCCGCCAGACCCGACAGGCUAUCUCUCCCUGCUUGUUCAUUGGCUCUAACUCAAACGCACAUGGAGCAC